rnacentral:snRNA from 1 species
AGAUUUGUGCAGUGGCAGUAUCGUAGCCAAUGAGGUUUAUCCUAGGCAUGAUUAUUGCUAAUUGAAAAUUUUUCCCAAUACCCGGCCAUGAUGACUUGAAAUAUAGUUGGCAUUGGCAAUUUUUGACAGUCCCUACAGAGA